rnacentral:lncRNA from 1 species
GCACACAUGUGGAGUGGACCGUUCUACAUGUGUAGUACUUGGGAUUGACCGAGUAUGUUUGAAGUACACCUAUGUGGAGAACAGUGCAGUACUAAUAUGUUUUGUAUAGUUAACAAUAUAUUCUUUGCCACCCUGCUCAUGUUAUUUGCACAUGGUUGGCCAGGAUCCCCAGCCACCUGCCCGACUUGUCGACACAGGUGGUUGGC